rnacentral:rRNA from 1 species
AACCUGCCUUUAUCAGGGGGAUAGCCUUUCGAAAGGAAGAUUAAUACCCCAUAAUAUAUUGACUGGCAUCAGUUGAUAUUGAAAACUCCGGUGGAUAGAGAUGGGCACGCGCAAGAUUAGAUAGUUGGUAGGGUAACGGCCUACCAAGUCAGUGAUCUUUAGGGGGCCUGAGAGGGUGAUCCCCCACACUGGUACUGAGACACGGACCAGACUCCUACGGGAGGCAGCAGUGAGGAAUAUUGGACAAUGGGUGAGAGCCUGAUCCAGCCAUCCCGCGUGAAGGACGACGGCCCUAUGGGUUGUAAACUUCUUUUGUAUAGGGAUAAACCUUUCCACGUGUGGAAAGCUGAAGGUACUAUACGAAUAAGCACCGGCUAACUCCGUGCCAGCAGCCGCGGUAAUACGGAGGGUGCAAGCGUUAUCCGGAUUUAUUGGGUUUAAAGGGUCCGUAGGCGGAUCUGUAAGUCAGUGGUGAAAUCUCAUAGCUUAACUAUGAAACUGCCAUUGAUACUGCAGGUCUUGAGUAAGGUAGAAGUGGCUGGAAUAAGUAGUGUAGCGGUGAAAUGCAUAGAUAUUACUUAGAACACCAAUUGCGAAGGCAGGUCACUAUGUCUUAACUGACGCUGAUGGACGAAAGCGUGGGGAGCGAACAGGAUUAGAUACCCUGGUAGUCCACGCCGUAAACGAUGCUAACUCGUUUUUGGGUUUUCGGAUUCAGAGAAUUUACGACCGGGAUACGUUUUC